rnacentral:rRNA from 1 species
GAUGAACGCUGGCGGCGUGCUUAACACAUGCAAGUCGAACGGUGAAGGCGGAGCUUGCUCUGCUGGAUCAGUGGCGAACGGGUGAGUAACACGUGAGCAAUCUGCCCCUGACUCUGGGAUAAGCGCUGGAAACGGCGUCUAAUACUGGAUACGAGCUGCGAAGGCAUCUUCAGCAGCUGGAAAGAAUUUCGGUCAGGGAUGAGCUCGCGGCCUAUCAGCUUGUUGGUGAGGUAAUGGCUCACCAAGGCGUCGACGGGUAGCCGGCCUGAGAGGGUGACCGGCCACACUGGGACUGAGACACGGCCCAGACCCCUACGGGAGGCAGCAGUGGGGAAUAUUGCACAAUGGGCGAAAGCCUGAUGCAGCAACGCCGCGUGAGGGACGACGGCCUUCGGGUUGUAAACCUCUUUUAGCAGGGAAGAAGCGAAAGUGACGGUACCUGCAGAAAAAGCGCCGGCUAACUACGUG